UCAGGGGCGGGGUUCCCAUGUUGCGCUAUGGAAAAUCGUUAGGGGAUACUCUGUGACAAACAUGCGCUCUGAGAUUGAUAAUAACCAGAAUAAGGCCAAAACGGGAACCUGGCGGAGUCAAUAUUCAGCGAGGGCCGGAACUGGGUGGCGCCGACCAGGAUGAGGUACACAUUUCUUCAGCACAGAUGGAGGAAAGGCUUGAGCUAAACACAACCUGUUUUUUUCUGACUUCAAUUACAUUCGACCCCAUUUGGACCAGGAAGAGCACCGGAUGGCUGAAGUCGACCCAGGAGAAAACACAAUAUAUGCCAUCAUGCCUGACAAAGAAGUCUGUGGGAAAGAUCUAUUUUUCCACAUCGUGAUUCACUGACAGUUUCUGCCAGGCUUGAUCUGUGUUUCCAUUUUGCUACUAUGCCCUACCAUCCUGAGAACUUGACCAUCUGAUGCACUAACAAGCUGAUAAAACGUUGAGCUGUUUAGAAACUUAAAUUUGAAACAGCAUCAGCUCGCCUAUCUUUCAACAAAAAUCUUUAUAUUGGCCAUAGUUCACUAUGUACUAUGCCCGAAUUACAUAGUGUACAUGUACAUGUAGAUGUCUGUUUUGAAAAAUAAACAUCUAUUUCUAAAAAAA